GACGAACGCUGGCGGCGUGCUUAACACAUGCAAGUCGAACGAAGGGCGAUGGAAGCUUGCUUCUAUCAAUCUUAGUGGCGAACGGGUGAGUAACGCGUAAUCAACCUGCCCUUCAGAGGGGGACAACAGUUGGAAACGACUGCUAAUACCGCAUACGAUCUAAUCUCGGCAUCGAGGAUAGAUGAAAGGUGGCCUCUACAUGUAAGCUAUCACUGAAGGAGGGGAUUGCGUCUGAUUAGCUAGUUGGAGGGGUAACGGCCCACCAAGGCGAUGAUCAGUAGCCGGUCUGAGAGGAUGAACGGCCACAUUGGGACUGAGACACGGCCCAGACUCCUACGGGAGGCAGCAGUGGAGAAUCUUCCGCAAUGGACGAAAGUCUGACGGAGCAACGCCGCGUGAGUGAUGACGGCCUUCGGGUUGUAAAGCUCUGUUAAUCGGGACGAAAGGCCUUCUUGCGAAUAGUGAGAAGGAUUGACGGUACCGGAAUAGAAAGCCACGGCUAACUACGUG
rnacentral:rRNA from 1 species